AUUGAACGCUGGCGGCAGGCCUAACACAUGCACGUCGAACGAGUGGCGGACCGGUGAGUAAUGUCUGGGAAACUGCCUGAUGGAGGGGGAUAACUACUGGAAACGGUAGCUACUACCGCAUCACAUCGGAUGUGCACAGAUGGGAUUAGCUAGUAGGUGGGGUAAAGGCUCAACUAGGCGCAGAUCCCUAGCUGGUCUGAGAGGAUGACCAGCCACCGUGGAACUGAGACAAGGUCCAGACUCCUACGGGAGGCAGCAGUGGGGAAUAUUGCACAAUGGGCGCAAGCCUGAUGCAGCCAUGCCGCGUGUAUGAAGAAGGCCUUCGGGUUUGAAAGUACUUUCAGCGGGGAUGCGUUACCCGCAGAAGAAGCACCGGCUAACUCCGUGCCAGCAGCCGCGGUAAUUC
rnacentral:rRNA from 1 species